rnacentral:rRNA from 1 species
GAUGAACGCUGGCGGCGUGCCUAAUACAUGCAAGUCGAGCGAACGGACGAGAAGCUUGCUUCUCUGAUGUUAGCGGCGGACGUGUGAGUAACACGUGGAUAACCUACCUAUAAGACUGGGAUCACUUCGGGAAACCGGAACUAAUACCGGAUAAUAUUUUGAACCGCAUGGUUCAAAAGUGAAAGACGGUCUUGCUGUCACUUAUAGAUGGAUCCGCGCUGCAUUAGCUAGUUGGUAAGGUAACGGCUUACCAAGGCAACGAUGCAUAGCCGACCUGAGAGGGUGAUCGGCCACACUGGAACUGAGACACGGUCCAGACUCCUACGGGAGGCAGCAGUAGGGAAUCUUCCGCAAUGGGCGAAAGCCUGACGGAGCAACGCCGCGUGAGUGAUGAAGGUCUUCGGAUCGUAAAACUCUGUUAUUAGGGAAGAACAUAUGUGUAAGUAACUGUGCACAUCUUGACGGUACCUAAUCAGAAAGCCACGGCUAACUACGUG